UACGGAGGGGGCUAGCGUUGUUCGGAAUUACUGGGCGUAAAGGGCACGUAGGCGGCGCAGCAAGUUAGAUGUGAAAGACCUGGGCUCAACCGAGGAAUUGCAUUUAAUACUGCUGUGCUAGAGUCCGAGAGAGGUGAGUGGAAUUCCCAGUGUAGAGGUGAAAUUCGUAGAUGUUGGGGAGAACACCAGUGGCGAAGGCGGCUCACUGGCUCGGUACUGACGCUGAGGUGCGAAAGCGUGGGGAGCAAACAGG
rnacentral:rRNA from 1 species